CUGUAAUUGGAAUGAGUACACUUUAAAUCCUUUAACAAGGACCUAUUGGAGGGCAAGUCUGGUGCCAGCAGCCGCGGUAACUCCAGCUCCAAUAGCGUAUAUUAAAGUUGUUGCGGUUAAAACGUUCGUAGUUGAACUUGUGCUUCAUACGGGUAGUACAACUAUAAUUGUAGUUUGUACUGUACCUUAUGUAUGUAAGCGUAUUACCGGUGGAGUUCUUAUAURUAAGUACUUUAUUUUCCUCCUAUUUAAACCUGCUUCAGUGCUCUUCAUCGAGUGUUGUUGUGGGCCGGUACAAUUACUUUGAACAAAUUAGAGUGCUUAAAGCAGGCUCCAAAUGCCUGAAUAUUUUGUGCAUGGAAUAAUGAAAUAAGACCUCUGUUCUACUUUCAUUGGUUUUUAGAUCAAGAGGUAAUGAUUAAUAGAAGCAGUUUGGGGGCAUUAGUAUUACGACGCGAGAGGUGAAAUUCUUGGACCGUCGUAAGACUAACUUAAGCGAAAGCAUUUGCCAAAGAUGUUUUCAUUAAUCAAGAACGAAAGUUAGAGGUUCGAAGGCGAUCAGAUACCGCCCUAGUUCUAACCAUAAACGAUGCCAGCUAGCAAUUGGGUGUAGCUACUAUCAUGGCUCUCUCAGUCGCUUCCCGGGAAACCAAAGCUUUUGGGCUCCGGGGGAAGUAUGGUUGCAAAGCUGAAACUUAAAGGAAUUGACGGAAGGGCACCACCAGGAGUGGA
rnacentral:rRNA from 1 species